rnacentral:rRNA from 1 species
CAAGGAAUUUUCGUCAAUGGGGGCAACCCUGAACGAGCAACGCCGCGUGGGCGAAGAAGUCCUUCGGGAUGUAAAGCCCUUUUCCCUGUGAAGAAAGAAAGACGGUAGCAGGGGAAUAAGCAUCGGCUAACUACGUGCCAGCAGCCGCGGUAAUACGUAGGAUGCAAGCGUUGUCCGGAAUUAUUGGGCGUAAAGAGCGCGCAGGCGGUGUGACAAGUCAGAUGUGAAAGAGGCCGGCUUAACCGGCAAGGGUCAUUUGAAACUGUCAGACUAGAGUGCAGCAGAGGAUAGUGGAAUUCCCGGUGUAGUGGUGAAAUGCGUAGAUAUCGGGAGGAACACCAGUGGCGAAGGCGACUAUCUGGGCUGCAACUGACGCUGAGGCGCGAAGGCUAGGGUAGCAAACAG